UGCAGUCGACGGUAACAUAAGGUGCUUGCACUUUGAUGACGAGUGGCGCACGGGUGCGUAACGCGUAUAGAACCUACCCUGUACAGGGGGAUAGCCCAGAGAAAUUUGGAUUAAUACCCCGUAGUAACUACUGAUGGCAUCAUUAGUAGUUUAAAGUUUUCGGAUGGUACAGGAUGGCUGUGCGUCCUAUUAGUUAGAUGGUGAGGUAACGGCUCACCAUGGCAGCGAUAGGUAGGGGCCCUGAGAGGGGGAUCCCCCACACUGGUACUGAGACACGGACCAGACUCCUACGGGAGGCAGCAGUGAGGAAUAUUGGACAAUGGGCAGAAGCCUGAUCCAGCCAUGCCGCGUGCAGGAAGACGGCCCUAUGGGUUGUAAACUGCUUUUAUACGGGAAGAAUAAGGGACACGUGUGUCCUGGUGACGGUACCGUAAGAAUAAGGACCGGCUAACUCCGUGCCAGCAGCCGCGGUAAUACG
rnacentral:rRNA from 1 species